GGCCAGUUAGCUCAGGUGGUCAGAGCGUGGUGCUAAUAAUGCUAAGGUCAUGGGUUCAAUUCCCAUACUGGCCA
rfam:Poecilia formosa, whole genome shotgun sequence.